ensembl:lncRNA
AAAAUUUUAUAGCUACUUUAUUUAUUUAUUUAUUUAUUUUUGGCUGUGUUGGGUCUUCAGUUCGUGCGAGGGCUUUCUCUAGUUGCGGCAAUGGGGGAGAGGGUCUCCAUUUAUAAAAAUAAGAGUGUUGAAAUACACAGUAGCUAAGAUUCGUUAUAGCUCUGAAGUGCCAGUCUUAAAUUUCACCUCAAGCAGAUGGAGGUGGAGAAAAUUAGCAUAAUGAAUGAAGGUAUUAUAUAAAUUGUAUCUGUUCUGAUCUUUCUGAUAAAAAUCUCUCCCAUUUUAAGGAAAGAGGAAAUCAUUUACUGAAAAAACAGCUUUUGGUUUAUCACUGAAGAAUAAUAGGUCCAUGGUUUUAAAUAUGUCAUCAAUUAAUGGGUCUAGAGAGGAUUAAGAACCAGCUCAGCAAGCUAACAUCAAUAGAAACCAAUCUUUGCAGAUCUUUUGACUGAAAAAGUAUUUAUUAACCAUGAAACUCUAGCUGGUUUCUUAAUAAUAUUAUUAUUAACAGUUUUGUCAACGUCCAUCAAAUGUCAGAUAUCUGCCAGAUGAGGUUGAGCCUGGGGCUAUAGGGUGGUUAACAUAACUUCUGGAGAAGAGGCCAUUUGGAAAUUAUGAAACCAGCAUUUUACCACAUUUGAAUCGUUUUGCAAUGUGCCUACCAAAAUACAUUCCUGCAAGCAGGGGAGAAUAUUACUUUUUCAAGGUCUAUACAUAAUUUUAGACACAAACAAGGCAAGAAAAAGCACACCUUUUUUCAUUAACUAGCACUAAAAAUCAUAUGUUACGUCAUUUAACCUAACAUUCGGAAUGAGCUAAGAAAAAAUUCUUGAAGGAACAUUUGUAAUAAACAAUAGCCAAAUAUAUGGUUAGGAUUCAAAAUCUCUCACUUUUGCACAUAUAUCCAACACCAGUAAAAACUCUACUUUAGAGAGUUUUGCUUUUUGCUUUCCUAAGGAGUUUUAUGGCCAUUAGCUCACAGCAAUCAAGAUGCUACUAAGUGGAAUAUUUUUAGAGGGCCGUACAGGCAUUCCUAAGAGAUAACUUAUCUGACACCACCCGGGAAAUACUUCCUUUCCCCUUAGGUUUUCAAAUCAGCACUUGAAAAGCCUGUCUAUGACACAGAGACCACAGGAAAAAGAAUGUGGCCACACCCUCUCUAAAUGAAAGGAUUAAUAAUAAGUGGAUCCUCUUAUUUAUCUACACUGCAUGAGUGAACAUAACGUUAAUUUCAAAAUGUUGAUUACAAAAGGCAUAAUUGUCACUAUGAGGUCUGAAUCUAUUUUUGUUUUGUUUUGUUUUGUUUUACAAAAGAAAAAAUAAAUUAUGUAAGUCCUGCUAUUUUGAGAUAGAUCCCUGAAACCUAUGUCUGGGGUCUUCUGGCCUGGCUCCCCACAAACACCCACCAUCCAUCAUGAUUUCCAUGUAAAGCAUACACAGCUCUUGGAGACUCAUAACUUGUAGGAAAAAACACAUUCUUUCCUUCUUUUCCAUGGUAACUCACCAACAGUACAAUAAGCCAGUAUUAAGCAAAGUUUCCUUGUUUUUAAAAUUGUAUUUCUUAACUAAGUAAAAAUAAAACAUUGCAAUUUGUGAUUCCUAAAAUAUAAAUAGCCAGUGUAAUUUUACAGAAAGAUUUAUCAAAGGUGUAAGUGCAGCUAGCCAUAAAUUACACAGAAGUAACAUUAAACACUGUAAUGGGAAAAGUUUUCAGAACAGCCAAAACUACCUAAAAGUACAACCAAGACUUACCUUUUUUUUUCGCCUCUGUCCAAAGACCUAAAGAGAGAUUCUUCUCUGAAUGGCUCACGCUGGAGGUGGAAACUUGGGCUUCUGAUUUUAUAGAAUUUGAAAGGAGGCC